rnacentral:rRNA from 1 species
AACGUAGGUGGCGAGCGUUAUCCGGAUUUACUGGGCGUAAAGGGCGCGUAGGCGGCUUAACAAGUCACUUGUGAAAUCUCCGGGCUUAACUCGGAACGGUCAAGUGAUACUGUUGUGCUAGAGUACAGAAGGGGCAAUCGGAAUUCUUGGUGUAGCGGUGAAAUGCGUAGAUAUCAAGAGGAACACCAGAGGCGAAGGCGGAUUGCUGGGCUGAUACUGACGCUGAGGCGCGAAAGCUAGGGUAGCAAACAGG